ACAUAAGUAACGAUAAAACGAGUGAAAAACGCGUUCGCCGGAAGACCAAGGGUUCCUGUCCAACGUUAAUCGGGGCAGGGUGAGUCGGCCCCUAAGGCGAGGCUGAAAAGCGUAGUCGAUGGGAAACGGGUUAAUAUUCCCGUACUUGGUAUAAUUGCGAUGUGGGGACGGAGAAGGUUAGGUAAGCGACCUGUUGGAUAUGGUCGUUUAAGCUGGUAGUUGGAAAGAGUAGGCAAAUCCGCUCUUUCAUUCAACAACGAGACGUGACGACGAGGCUCUACGGAGCUGAAGUUACCGAUACCACGCUUCCAGGAAAAGCCACUAAGCGAAAGACUAUACUAAACCGUACUGAAAACCGACACAGGUGGUCAGGUAGAGAAUACUCAGGCGCUUGAGAGAACUCGGGUGAAGGAACUAGGCAAAAUAGCACCGUAACUUCGGGAGAAGGUGCGCUGGCGUAGGUUGUAGGAGUUUACCUCCGAAGGCUGAACCAGUCGAAGAUACCAGCUGGC
rnacentral:ncRNA from 2 species